AGAAUCAACGCUGGCGGCGUGCCUAACACAUGCAAGUCGAACGAGAAAGUGGAGUAAUCCAUGAGUAAAGUGGCGCACGGGUGAGUAACACGUGACUAACCUACCCUUGAGUGGGGGAUAACCUAGGGAAACCUGGGCUAAUACCGCAUAAUACCUUCGGGUCAAAGGAGCAAUUCGCUUAAGGAGGGGGUCGCGGCCGAUUAGUUAGUUGGCGGGGUAAUGGCCCACCAAGACUGUGAUCGGUAU
rnacentral:rRNA from 1 species